ACUAGAGCCCAUUCCUGGAUUUCAGGUCCCAAUCCCCACUGCAGUGCUCUCUGGUGAUGGCAGCUGAGGCCAACCCUUGGACCUCACUUCUUUCUAAUUUUCUCUGUGCUGAGUUACUCUCGCCCGUUCACCCACACUCCCUUGUGAUGCAAUGCAGUACUGUGGCUAUUCUACAAGUCUUGGUUUGACUCCAAAUUCGGUCACUGUCUGUGUGACUCCAGGCAAAAAUAUAAUAAGUGAGCUCCUAUGGGGUUGCCGUGAGCAUCAAGUAAAACGCUUCAUGAAAUGCACUGGGUUUUACACUUGAUGAUCUCAGAAUGGAUUUUAUGAGCAGCUGUGGCCACCUAGCCACCUUCUUAAUAGAGAAAUCAAAUGGCAUUACUUCCCUAAACAAAACCUACAAUGAAGGGUGGAAUUCCAUCCCAUGAAGGGUGGGAGUCCCAUACAGAGCUGCACAUGUCCAGCCACUGUCUGUCUCUUUGAUAUCAUCUCCUUCAAUACCCGUCCCAGAUUCACCAAUGUUCUUGUUGCUGGAACUUGCAACUCUGAUUGUGACAUCAGGAUCUUUGCACUUAGUCUUUGUAUUAGAGUCCUCCAGAAAGAAUCAAUACAAUAAACAUAGGUGAAGAUUUAGCUAGAUAGAUAGACAGACAGAUGGGAUUUAUUAAAGGAAGUGCCUCAUGAGAUUAUGGAAUUUGAGAAGUCUCAAAAUAAGCCAUAUGCAAGCUGAAGAACUAGAGAAACCAAGCUCAGUCCAGGUCCAAAGGCCUGAGGACCACGGAAGUCAGUAGUGUAUCUCUGGGUCUGAAGCCAAAGGCCUGAGAAUCCAAGGAGGGCCAGAGAGCCUAUAAUUCUGAUGUGCAAGGGCAGGAGAAGAAGGGUGCCCCAGCUCCAGGAGAGACGGUGAAUUCACCUUUCCUCUGCCUUUUUCUUCUAUCGGGCCUCCAGCUGAUUGGAUGGUGCCCACAUGCAUUGAGGGUGGCCCUUCCCCACUCAGUCCACCAACUCACAUGCCAGUCUCCUCUGGAAAUAUCCCUACAUAUGCACCCGAAAGCAAUCUUCCCCAGUUUUUAGGCAUUCCUUAAUUCAGUUAAGUGGACACCUAAAAUUAACUGUCACUGUCUCUUUGCCUGGAAUAUUCCCUCUUCCUCCCAUCUCACCCCAAGAUCUCUGCGUGACUCAUUUCCUUUCACUGUAUCACUCAGGGAAGCCUUCCAUGAACACGCUGUAGAAAACUCCACCCCCUUCCUCUCCAUUCUUCAGCCCCUCACCUGCUUUACAGAAGGGUCACCACCUGCUCUCCCACUGAAACGUUAGCUUCAGGGAUACUGCUGAAGGGAUACUGCUCAACUGAUGCCAAGUGCUGACCUCGUGAAUGCAUGUAGCAAAUCCUCAGUAAGUCCUGACUGAAGAGAGGAACUACAGCAUUCGUUUGUGGGAUACAGUCCUGAUUGCGUAUUGAUAGACUUGCUUCCCUUCUUAGUCUUUUGCAAGUUUCUUUCCCAUGGAAUCCAUCUCUUGUUGAACUAUUAUUACUCAAACAUAUCUGGAACUGAUUUCAAUAAUGGUCCUGUGAAUAACAGAGACCCUCUUCUCUAUACUUGCCUCAUUUUAUUGAACUGGGAGCCUCCCAUAGCCCUACCCCACCCAUAGACCUGCAAGGAUGACCAUCAAUGCAGGACCCGCGUAAGUGUCUCUGGACAUCUUUGCUCAACAUUGUUGGUGGCUUCAGAUCCUUUGUGGUCUGCCUACUUGAGAUCAGCCUACUUGAGAUCACCUACAUGCUUAAAAUUGCCCCUCUUAUUCCCCAGUGUGUUCCUCUGCUGGAUCUACACCUUCCAUUGUAGUCCACUUUUAGAUGCAGCAGUUCUCAAAGCAACCAUAAAGAGAGGCCCAAAAGUCACUCAUUUUUGCACCAAUUCAAUCCUUUUGAUGGAUGUCCAUUCGGUUUAUACACAUUUAAUAUCUGAAAACUAAAUUCAGCAGUUGUUAGAAGAAAGAGCUAUUUCUCCUAUAGAGAAAUGGUACAUUUGCCUGAAGACCUCUUCCUAACCAUACGAAGACUCUUUACUAAGAAAAUACCCUAAACUUUUCUAGCUUUGAUUGUAACAAAAAAACUCUACAUGUUUGUAUUUCAUUGUCUGAUGUCCUAUGCAGAAGAAAAUGUGUAGGCUUUUAAAAAAACAUAUCCGACUCACCAUUGGGUUAUACCACUGUGUAACUUGGCAUUCCAUCUUAUUUCAUUCACCUCUUUGAUUACUAAUCAAAUGUCUUAUUGUACCUUCAUCUUUUGAUGCCAACUGCUAUACACCACUAGUUCUAUCAAGCAUAGAAAAUAAAGGUGAAUGUAGUUUCCAUUAUUUCUUCUGUGCUUGACAAAGGGUAUAACAUCACAGGAGAAAUGAGAAAUAAGAAACUAUGUCACAAAGAAUCUAUGGUCAGCGAAAUCAUGAGUAGAGCUGGAUGGUGCAGUUUAUACUAGAUCACUGGAGAGGAACAUUCUCACAGGACAGAAUCUUUGAAGAAAGAGAAAGAUAGUAUUCUCUGUUGUCCUACCAGGAACAGGAGAACCAGAACGGAAACUGGAAAAUCGUGAAAAUUCAUCUAUCUUGUAUGGAGUGAAUAAUAAGAAGGUGACUGCAACCAGGGUUGAGUGGAUUAAGAUGCAAAGGAAAUAUGGUAUUUUGUGUCUAGAGAGCAUGUACCCUUACAAGCUUCUAGGUUUGGAGGGAAGAAAACAUGACCUAUAUCUCCAUGCUGCCUUAUGAAUUCAAUGGCUCUUUGAGGCUGCAGUUGACUUUAGGGGAGAAUGGCACCUAUAUGGUCCCUGAGGGAGGCCUGUUAUCUGCAGAAUGGAUGUUGAUAAGGGUUAUCAUUGGGUGCUAUUUUUAAGGCAAAACAUAUUCUGCCUGCAAAGAGACUUCAAGCUCCAACUUCAAAAGUUUCUGGUGGUGUCCCAAUUUUUGUGUUUCAUAGCAUAGAGCAGUCGAAAGCUCUUAUUCUGUUUGAUUCUCCAGAAUCUGCACUGUCUUUUUGUGACUGGGGACUUGCCCGCUGGGGUAGAUGCUGUUUUGGUGGCUGCCCAGAAGCCCUUUCCUGGGCCAGUGCCCCCAGCUGCUGUGAGUGUCGGCUGCUAACAAUUCUCUGAUGUCUCCCCCAACACACACACCUUACGGAGCUCCCAUUGCUUAGAAUCUCUGUUAGUCUGCUCAGGCUGCCACUAUAAGGCACCACACAUUCAGCAGCUUAAGCAACAGAAAUUUAUUUUUUCAUGGUUCUGGAGGCUGGAAAUCUGAGAGCAAGGUGCCAGCAGGGUUGGUUUCUUCUGAGGCCUCCCUCCUUGUUUGUAGGUGGCCAUCUUCUUCUGAUGUUCUCCUCACAUGGUCAUCUCUCUGCAUGCGUUAGUGUCUCAAUCUCCUUCUUCUUCUUCUUUUUUUUUUUUUUCUGAAAUGGAUUCUCACUCUGUUGCCCAGGCUGGAGUGCAAUGGCGCAAUUUUGGCUCACUACAAAUUUAGCCUCCCAGGUUCAAGCGAUUCUCCCACCUCAGCCACCCGAGUAGCUGGGAUUACAGGCACCUGCCUUCAUGCCCAGCUGAUUUUUGUAUUUUUGUAGAGACGGGGUUUCACCAUGUUGGCCAGGCUGGUCUUGAACUCCUGACCUCAGGUGAUCCGCCUGCCUCAGCCUCCCAAAGUGCUGGGAUUACAGGCGUGAGCCACCGUGCCCCCCCAAUCUCCUCUUCUUAUAAGAACGCCAGCAUAUUGGAUGACAGCCCACUCAUCCAACCUCAUUUUGACAUAACUACCCUUUAAAGAGCUUACCUCCAAAUAGAGUCACAUUUUGAGAUACUAGGAGUUAGGAACACAUUUCAGUCCAUAACAAAUUAGAAGCGUUUUUUUUUUUUUUUUUUUUUUUUUUUUUUUUUUUUUUUUAGGAAAACUGUAACACUAGUUGGAGUCUGGUCACAAAUAGCCUUUGAGUAUUUGACCCCUCACAGCAGUGUCCUGAUCCCUAAACCUGCAACAAGUACUGCACUGCAAAACCUACACCUGCUUCCCCUAGAAAGGCAUUCUCCCCAAUGUCCACCUAAGGUAUGGCCAUGGAGGAACAUGAUGUAGACAAGGAAGCCCCUCCCAGGGAGUGGAAAUAUGAGUCAGGGCGGUAGAGGACAAGAGGGGUCCUCCAAGGUUACUAAAUAAGGUUGUCCAAGUGCCCACUCCGUUGCCAAGGCUGGGUCCCUGGCCAAUCUCGCUUGGCAGGCAGUGCUGAUAAGAGCUAUGAACCAGUGACUGUCUGUGCUGUUCCCCACCCAUCCCUUUCCUGAAUGAGAGUUGAGAAUGAAUAGAAAGUAGAGACUCUAGACAGGACCAGAAUAGUCCCAUUCCCCCUAGAUAGCCAUGGCUUCUCAGCAGUUCUUUAUAGAGUUGAAGUUGGUAUCAAAGCCUCAAAGUUCUCUAUGUGUGACUGGCUGAAUGACGCCCCUCAAAGACUUCCACGUUCUAAUCCCUAGCACCUGGGAAUGUGACUUUACAUGACAAAAGGGGCUUUGCAGGUAUGAUUACAUUAAAGAUCUAAGACAGAGAGAUUAUCCAGGUGGGUUGAAUGCAAUCACAAGGGCCCUGAUAAGAGAGAAGCAUGGGGAUCAGAGUCAAAGAGGAUGUGACAAUAGAAGCAGAGGUCAGAGAGGAGAGAAGAUGCUGUCUCUUUGGAGAUGGAGGACGGGGCCGCAAGCUGAGGACUAGAGGAGGCUUCUAAAAGGUAAGAAUCUGAAUCCGCCUCAGAGCCUCCAAAGGAGCCGAGCCCAGAUGACCCUUUGAUUUUUAGUUCACACAGAAUGAUUUUGGACUUCUAACCUGCAAAAUGUAAGAUAAUCAGUUUGUGUUGCUUUAAGUCACUUAGUUUGUGGCAAUUUGUUACAGCAACAAUAGGAAACCAAUGACGCACCUAGGAGGUAUAAAUUUGUGUUACAGUGCUCAUAAUAUAAAUAUAAAAUAUCAUCUCAUACUUCAGUCUGGAACUAAGCUGGCAAGAAUUGGGAAGAUGAAGAGAUAUGUGAUAUCAGUCAUCGUUCAUUGGCCUCGGAUCACUUGACUAUCCUGGAGGACUUAAGGGCUCCAGAAAAUUUGCAAAGGAUCUCCUGACUGCAGGGUAAGGGGAGAAUAGCGGGUGCAAUCUACUCUCAGCCCACAGUCCACACUAACUGUUCCGAGGUCAGCAUAUUUUUUUCAGUAGAGAGCCAGCUAGUAAAUAAUCUGGGCUUUGCAGACUAUGUAUACGGUCUCUGUCACAACUACUCAACUCUGCUUCUGAAGUAUGAAAACAGCCAUAGGUCAUAAGUAUACAAAUGGGUUUGGCUAUGUGCCAAUGAAACUUUAUUUACAAAAACAGGAGGCUGACCGGAUUUGGUCCAUCAGCCAUGUUUGCUGACUUUUCCAUAGCCCACCUGAUGGUAGAACAACCUGCUCCUCACGGCAUCUACUCUCUUGUGACUAAUUUGAUAAUUUGGGUCUUUGAUGCAGCCUCAAAGGUCAUAGCUCCUAGAGAUAAGCCUUCAAGUCACCACAAGCUACCUUCAUAGGUGAGUCACAAGUGGGGUGCUACCUGGGAGUCCAGGUCUCCAGCCCAGCAGAACCCCCAUUGCUACCCCUCCUCUGCCCAGUGAAUCCUUCUCUGAGUAGGUUCGUCCACUCUCCUUUACCUACCCCUUCUUUAUACUGCUUCACUUGUAAGAAUCCAGCCUUUUUUCUCCCAAUAACCACUUUGCAUUUGAAAAGAGCAAAGUAAAAAAGCUUCUUUUCCUUUCAUAAUUGGACCACAGGAAAAUAAUUAAUGUUCUCAGUCAGUCAAUUCUGCAUUUGCAUAUUGUAUACAGUUUAUUGGGUAUCUAGUUAGAUUGAAGUUUAUUGCUUGGUAAACUUCUGGGUAAUUUUCAUUCAACUAAAUGUCAGUCAUUACCAGUCCAUCCUUGUAUUGUCUUUUAAAAGUCACAAGUUCAAGAACCCCACAGAUAGCACUGCAGACAAACAUCUAAAUGGCAUGCAGUGAGAUUGAAACUGCAGUCCAGGUUCUCCUGGCCAGGGGUGGGAGGCCAGAUGACCAGCUUUCCUUCCAUAACAGCCCAUUAACGGGCUUAUUCCUGUCAGAGCCCACCACUCAUGCCACCUGUGACCUUCCUCUGAUCCGCUUCUCUCCCCUGCAGGUGGUCUGUCUGGCUUUAGGGUUCCCCGAGGUCACUGGUCUGCUAAGGAUUGCAUCUGAAGAUAUGAACUAAGCUGAGUUAAAUAGGCUUAUCCUGUGGAGACAAAGACACUGCCCUGGGUUUGAGCCACCUGCCUUUCCUUAGCAUCAAAACAAAACAAAAACACACUCUUUGGGGCUUAAUGAAUAUACAGCUAUUCUUCAGCUUCCUGGUUUGUACUAAGCUGAUAGCUAAUCUUUGGCAUUUGGCAUAUUGGGCUUAAUUAUGAUAAAGAAAAAGUUUAAUGGGUUCAUCUUGAACAAAAUGGUGCACUUAAUGGCAAUUGUAAGAAUAUUUUUGCUCAACAAAGCUUCUUAAAGAAAUGAAUUUAAAGCCUCCAAAGAAAAAUUUUAUUAAAAUUGUAUUAAGGUUAUAGAAAUGGCAAAGUAUAUUAUUUUCUUCCCUUUGUGUUCUCUAGCUGUUCAACCUUCCCUCACUCUCCACACUAUUGAAGGGUCCUCGCCUGCUGAUGUGUCAGCUUCCCUGUUCCUAGCAAAAGCUUUGGAAUGAAAAGAAGCAAACAAAGAUGCCUGAAAAGCCCAGAACCACAACUUCUGAGUUCGUCUUCUGAUGCAGGAAUAUUACAAUUGAGAGGAAAACAGAGAUAUAGAAAUUACCAAGAAAAAUCCAGAGCUAGCCAUUAUAUCAGGAACGAAGAAGCCAGUCACUGUGCUCUGGAGAGACAAAUUGCACAUUUGACAUGCAGUCACUUUGUGUAGGAAACAUUACUUCUGAA
rnacentral:lncRNA from 1 species